GGGGAUUUAGCUCAGUGGCAAAAGCACCUGUCUUGCAAGCAGGCAGUUGAGUCGAUCCCUG
rnacentral:tRNA from 1 species